ACAGCAAACUGCUAAGGAUUAACUGCAGAGGUCAACAUGAGGAAAUCAAGUUUCAGAGAGGCCGGACUUCAAGCCCACACAUUAUACAAGAACAUCUGGGCUCAGAAGCCAGAGCGACUUCUCAGAGACUGGCCACUGCCAGCUACCACCUUCUCAGGCUGAUUCCCACUUACAAGAUUUGCUAAGUCACCACCCACGCUCCAGGACACAAGCCUCGGGAUCCCUGAAUGGCGCGAGCACAGACUUUCCACUUCCUCAAGUCAUGUGAUUCACUUAAUGCUAAGGCUGUAAUCAGCAGCCCGCCUGCACGGGACAGCUCGUGGUGACCAAACAUGAGGUGACUGGGAGGAAAAGAGCAUGCAGAUCACACCGAGAUGGGAACGGACAAGUGAGG
rnacentral:lncRNA from 1 species